rnacentral:rRNA from 1 species
GUUUGGUGAACAGCGGAGGGACAUUA